GUGGCCAGCCGCCGCGGUAAUACGGAGGGGGUUAGCGUUGUUCGGAAUUACUGGGCGUAAAGCGCACGUAGGCGGAUCAGAAAGUGGGGGGUGAAAUCCCAGGGCUCAACCCUGGAACUGCCUCCAAAACUCCUGGUCUUGAGUUCGAGAGAGGUGAGUGGAAUUCCGAGUGUAGAGGUGAAAUUCGUAGAUACUCGGAGGAACACCAGUGGCGAAGGCGGCUCACUGGCUCGAUACUGACGCUGAGGUGCGAAAGUGUGGGGAGCAAACAGGAUUAGAUACCCCAGUAGUCC
rnacentral:rRNA from 1 species